AUUGAACGCUGGCGGCCGGCCUAACACAUGCAAGUCGAGCGGAGCUGCGGACGGGUGAGUAAUUCCUAGGAAUCUGCCUGGUAGUGGGGGAUAACGUCCGGAAACGGGCGCUAAUACCGCAUACUAUCAGAUAAGCCUAGGUCGGAUUAGCUCGUUGGUGGGGUAAAGGCCUACAAAGGCGACGAUCCGUAACUGGUCUGAGAGGAUGAUCAGUAAAACUGGAAAUGAGACACGGUCCAGACGCCGACGGUAGGCAGCAGUGGGGAAUAUUGGACAAUGGGCGAAAGCCUGAAACAGCCAUGACGCGGGGGUGAAGAAGGUCUUCGGAUUGUAAAGCACGUUAAGUGGGGAGGAGUUACAAACAGAAUAGGCACCGGCUAACUUCGUGCCAGCAGCCGCGGUAAUAC
rnacentral:rRNA from 1 species